rnacentral:rRNA from 1 species
GACGAACGCUGGCGGCGUGCUUAACACAUGCAAGUCGAACGGAAAGGCCCUGCUUUUGUGGGGUGCUCGAGUGGCGAACGGGUGAGUAACACGUGAGUAACCUGCCCUUGACUUUGGGAUAACUUCAGGAAACUGGGGCUAAUACCGGAUAGGAGCUCCUGCUGCAUGGUGGGGGUUGGAAAGUUUCGGCGGUUGGGGAUGGACUCGCGGCUUAUCAGCUUGUUGGUGGGGUAGUGGCUUACCAAGGCUUUAACGGGUAGCCGGCCUGAGAGGGUGGCCGGCCACAUUGGGACUGAGAUACGGCCCAGACUCCUACGGGAGGCAGCAGUGGGGAAUAUUGCACAAUGGGCGGAAGCCUGAUGCAGCAACGCCGCGUGCGGGAUGACGGCCUUCGGGUUGUAAACCGCUUUCGCCUGUGACGAAGCGUGAGUGACGGUAAUGGGUAAAGAAGCACCGGCUAACUACGUG